UUACGGCCAUAUCAUGUUGAAACACCGGUUAUCGUACGAUCACCGAAGUUAAGCAAUGCCGUGCUUAGUCUGCAUAUAGAUGGGUGACCGCUUGAAAAUACCAGGAAUUGUAA